rnacentral:pre_miRNA from 1 species
UUGUUGUCGUCAGCUGUAGUUGACGACAAAUAAUUGUCGUCAAGGCAGCUGACGACAAAUA